rnacentral:rRNA from 1 species
CCUACGGGAGGCUGCAGUGGGGGAUAUUGCACAAUGGGGGGAACCCUGAUGCAGCGACGCCGCGUGGGUGAAGAAGCGCUUCGGCGUGUAAAGCUCUGUCAGCAGGGAAGAAAAUGACGGUACCUGAUGAAGAAGCCCCGGCUAACUACGUGCCAGCAGCCGCGGUAAUACGUAGGGGGCAAGCGUUAUCCGGAUUUACUGGGUGUAAAGGGGGCGCAGACGGCGGUGCAAGUCUGGAGUGAAAGCCCGGGGCCCAACCCCGGGACUGCUCUUGAAACUGCGUGGCUGGAGUGCAGGAGGGGCAGGCGGAAUUCCUGGUGUAGCGGUGAAAUGCGUAGAUAUCAGGAGGAACACCAGUGGCGAAGGCGGCCUGCUGGACAGCAACUGACGUUGAGGCCCGAAAGCGUGGGGAGCAAACAGGAUUAGAUACCCCGGUAGUC